CUGUUCAAAAUCGAAUCUUGUAAACCAAGGCCUCUAAUUCUUCAUCAUCAGGUGAAAUUCACAUGAUUGUGGGAUCCAUGUUUGCCGGCAAAAUGACCACGCUUCUUCGAAGGAUCCAAGCGGAGAACGAGAAGGUUCGUGUAUACCCAGAUUAGCGCAGUUUGGUUCAAAGUGCCCUCUAUGUAAAUCUGAAUGUCGCAAAGCAGGUUUAAGGCCUUCGCUUUUU